rnacentral:rRNA from 1 species
AUACGUAGGUGGCAAGCGUUGUCCGGAAUUAUUGGGCGUAAAGCGCGCGCAGGUGGUUCCUUAAGUCUGAUGUGAAAGCCCACGGCUCAACCGUGGAGGGUCAUUGGAAACUGGGGAACUUGAGUGCAGAAGAGGAAAGUGGAAUUCCAAGUGUAGCGGUGAAAUGCGUAGAGAUUUGGAGGAACACCAGUGGCGAAGGCGACUUUCUGGUCUGUAACUGACACUGAGGCGCGAAAGCGUGGGGAGCGAACAGGAUUAGAUACCCUGGUAGUCCACGCCGUAAACGAUGAGUGCUAAGUGUUAGAGGGUUUCCGCCCUUUAGUGCUGCAGCAAACGCAUUAAGCACUCCGCCUGGGGAGUACGACCGCAAGGUUGAA